rnacentral:rRNA from 1 species
AUUGAACGCUGGCGGCAGGCCUAACACAUGCAAGUCGAGCGGCAGCGGAAAGUAGCUUGCUACUUUGCCGGCGAGCGGCGGACGGGUGAGUAAUGUCUGGGAAACUGCCUGAUGGAGGGGGAUAACUACUGGAAACGGUAGCUAAUACCGCAUAACGUCGCAAGACCAAAGGGGGGGACCUUCGGGCCUCUUGCCAUCAGAUGUGCCCAGAUGGGAUUAGCUAGUAGGUGGGGUAAUGGCUCACCUAGGCGACGAUCCCUAGCUGGUCUGAGAGGAUGACCAGCCACACUGGAACUGAGACACGGUCCAGACUCCUACGGGAGGCAGCAGUGGGGAAUAUUGCACAAUGGGCGCAAGCCUGAUGCAGCCAUGCCGCGUGUAUGAAGAAGGCCUUCGGGUUGUAAAGUACUUUCAGCGGGGAGGAAGGUGUUGAGGUUAAUAACCUCAGCAAUUGACGUUACCCGCAGAAGGAGCACCGGCUAACUCCGUGCCAGCCGCCGCCGUAAAAC